rnacentral:lncRNA from 1 species
UAUAUAAGAAGAGUCCAGACAUAGCAGGGGAAGUGUCCAUGGCAGGUGAAGAAGCAGUGUCUGUGUGGCCAAGAGCCCUUGGAGCAGGUGACAUGGUGGCCUGACCACUUUUCUAAAUCUUAGAGACAAUGAGAAUGGUGACUUACCAUGCUUCCAACUGCCAUCUUCACCAUAGAGCUGCAGUACUGUUCUCACAAAGUCCUUGGCAUUAAAACAAACAACGGGACAUUUACACCUCAGUGUCCAAAACAGUAUGUUCCUAGACAAAAGAAAAUUCACCAUUUAGAUAGUAAUUUGGGUCUUGGAAAAAUAUUGUAAUAUCAAAUCGCUAUCUAUCCUUAUGUAGUAUAUCCACACCUCGAUUAACUACCGAAUCCUAUGAGCUCCUGUGCAGAACACACACACUGGACCUGGUCCAAGCCUCCAAGUGUCCCACCUCUCGGCAGGCCAGGUCUUUCCUUCUGCCACUGCACGGUGCCACUCCUACCCACACUGCUGGGGAUGACAUAUGCUCUUGCAUGCCUACUCUUCUCCACCCACAACUUGUGCAACCUGCUCAAGAGAUGUUCUGGGCAAGCAGCCUACCCACACACCUUUCACAGAAGGACCCACACGUGCUAAACUGCAGCUUCUUCCAUCACCUUAUGAGCUUCUGAAUCUGGGAUAACAGUUAACAUUUAUCAUAGCAGAUACCAGGCUACCAUUUCACAAUGUUGCCACACUGAAACUUAAUCCACCUUGACAGGUGUUCUGUACACAUGGGCUCACUUGCUCAUGUGUAAUCCCAAGGCUCCAAGAGUACUCAUGGGAAAUGGAGCUGACAACUGAGAAUAGAGAACUGAGAAGGAUGCCUGAACUGGAGUAUGGCACACCUGCAGUCCAUUUUUGGCUUUUUGCAUGCUGAGACAACACAUUAUAAGCCAAGCCACACAGUUCAAAUAGUCAGUUGUGUCUACUGGCCUGCUUGUACCUGAACCAAAUAAACCACUUCCAGCAC